rnacentral:tRNA from 3 species
GGAACGGUGGCAGAGCGGACCAAUGCAGCCGCCUUGAAAGCGGCCGGCUCACAAGGCCCGGGGGUUCGAAUCCCUCCCGUUCCGCCA